GGGCAUCUCCUUUACCUGCUUCAGGUAUACCUGAAGAGACUUCAGUUAGUAAAACCUUCCUUGCAUCUCUGCAUUACUCCGUCUGCCCCUCCCACUGAAGGAGGAAUCAACUGUCUGGCAAAUCUGGAAACAGGAACAGCCACCAAAGCAAACCUCACCUCAUUCUUGUUGGGAUAUGCCUGUGUCUGGUCUCUGCUCCACCAUGGGUUACAGGACUUUCCCCCUGAGAAGGAGACCUGCUAUUUCAGAGAGACAACUUUACUAGACAGGUUUCCCAAGUGAUGCAACCUGACGAGUUCUCCAAUCUGUAGAUGCCACUCAUCUUCACUGCAAUUAACUGCGGUCAAGGUACCAGGCUCAUGAAAUGAGAAAAGUCCUUUUUGUGAUCACUUCUGCCAUUAGGGGGAGGGACUUUUGGGAAGGGACAUGUUACUUCAGGAAUUUUCAAUUGAACACGAUUCAUCAGUUUCACACAGAGACAUCAAGUCCAGGAAGAGAAGCUAACAAAUAAUCUUGCACUCAAGGACCUUAUCUUUGUCAACUCUGUGGUCCAAUUUCUCAUAGAUCUUAAUCAGCAGAAGGCCUUUAAUAAGUGAUUUGUGAAUGAAUGGAAAGUCUGGAUGAAGAAAUAUAUGCUGGAAUCAGUGGCUUUCGCAAGAGGAAGGUGGCAGUGUAUUAAGUACGAGGGAACUGUCUUUGGCAGAAGGCCAAACCUUUGGGAAUGAGGUCUUCUUAAUGAAAAAUUCUGCAAACCUGUUUCAAUUCACACAUUCAUUCAACAAAUAGUUAUUGGGUGCCCUUUAAUGUUCUCAGGUCACCUUCCCAAAAUAACUGCAAUGAAAAUGUUUUCCACUUUUUCCUCUUCAUCUAGAAAGAUCUAUUUUAAACGGUGGGAUUGUGGAUUUGAGCACUGCUUUUUGAACACAGUCACGAAUCCAGGCAUUUGGUCCAGGCAGUGCCGGGAGGAGAAUGGGUAAUGAUUUUAACAGAGCCUGCUGCAAACGCCUACUCGUUCUUCCACAAGCAACUAAUCUUAGGUCUCAGCAAUGCAAUAUCCCAGUGAAUAGAGGGAUGAAAUGGACUAAGAGGUGAAAUGCUGCCAACAACAGAAGCCAGAAGUACCUCACUCUUCAAGGAUCUCUCACUGGUGUCAGCUUGGGUCAGAAUGGUGCUGCAGUGGGCUGGUGCUAGGUGCUACUCUGACCUCUUUGCAGGGGACCAGGAUGAGAGCUGGUGCUGAUAGCUCUUAACGUAAUGCCUGGGCAAUUUCCUUUUGAAUAGAAAAGGAAAUGGGUGAAAAUGCUCUCAUAUGUGCUUUUAGUAAUGAUGUGCAGAGAAUUUUAAACAAGACUGUAAAGGUUUAACUUUAAUAAUUCAUCAAUCAAGACACCAACUACAUGCUUGGCAAUAGGUAAAGACCCAAACGAAAUCAACACAGGACCCUGUCUUUAAAAGCUUUAUAUUUUUACUGAUGGUUACCAAAGAAAAUGAUCAAUGGAUAAAAAGAAUCCAGAACAGAAAAAUGGUAUCAGUACUGAUGAGCAGAAGAGUAUAGCAGACAGGAAGGCAGACUGUGGAGGAAAGUGGCUGAGUAGCCUGGGUUCAAAUCUCAGCUCCAGCACUUAAUAACAAAAUAGACCGAGGCAGUUUAUUUAA